rnacentral:rRNA from 1 species
GUAGAGAUCUGGAGGAAUACCGAUGGCGAAGGCAGCUUCCUGGCAUCAUACUGACACUGAGGCUCGAAAGCGUGGGUAGCAAACAGGAUUAGAUACCCUGGUAGUCCACGCCGUAAACGAUGUCUACUAGUCGUUGGGUCCCUUGAGGACUUAGUGACGCAGCUAACGCAAUAAGUAGACCGCCUGGGGAGUACGGCCGCAAGGUUAAAACUCAAAUGAAUUGACGGGGGCCCGCACNAGCGGUGGAGCAUGUGGUUUAAUUCGAUGCAACGCGAAGAACCUUACCUGGUCUUGACAUACACAGAAUCUUGUAGAGAUACGAGAGUGCCUUCGGGAAUUGUGAUACAGGUGCUGCAUGGCUGUCGUCAGCUCGUGUCGUGAGAUGUUGGGUUAAGUCCCGCAACGAGCGCAACCCUUGUCCUUAGUUACCAGCGGGUUAAGCCGGGAACUCUAAGGAUACUGCCAGUGACAAACUGGAGGAAGGCGGGGACGACGUCAAGUCAUCAUGGCCCUUACGACCAGGGCUACACACGUGCUACAAUGGUAGGUACAGAGGGCAGCUACACAGCGAUGUGAUGCGAAUCUCAAAAAGCCUAUCGUAGUCCAGAUUGGAGUCUGCAACUCGACUCCAUGAAGUAGGAAUCGCUAGUAAUCGCGGAUCAGAAUGCCGCGGUGAAUACGUUCCCGGGCCUUGUACACACCGCCCGUCACACCAUGGGAGUUGAUUGCACCAGAAGUGGUUAGCCGAACCUUUUAGGACGGCG